UGAGGAAUAUUGGGCAAUGCCCGCAAGGGUGACCCAGCAACGCCGCGUGGAGGAUGAAUGUCGUAAGAUUGUAAACUCCUGUUAGAGGGGAAGAAUAGUACCGGUUGGACCGGUAUAUGACUGUACCCUCAGAGAAAGCCCCGGCUAACUACGUGCCAGCAGCCGCGGUAAUACGUAGGGGGCAAGCGUUGUCCGGAUUUACUGGGUGUAAAGGGCGCGCAGGCGGGAUAAAAAGUCAGUGGUGAAAUCCUACAGCUUAACUGUAGAACUACCUUCGAUACUUUUAUUCUUGAGUUCGGGAGAGAGAGACGGAAUUCCAGGUGUAGUGGUGAAAUACGUAGAUAUCUGGAAGAACACCAGUUGCGAAGGCGGUCUCUUGGUCCGACACUGACGCUGAGGCGCGAAAGCGUGGGGAGCAAACA
rnacentral:rRNA from 1 species